AUGCUCGUCAUAUGUGGCAGGGCUUGCAAACUAUUACAGACUACAAAGGGAAGCACAGCCGAGAGCUACCCAGUGACAAGCCUACCAGACGAGCUAAAUAACUUCUAUGCUCGGUUUGAGGCAAGUAACACUGAAGCAUGCAUAAGAGCAUCAGCUCUUCCAGAUGACUUUGUGAUCACGCUCUCCGCAGCCGAUGUGAGUAAGACCUUUAAACAGGCCAACAUUCACAAGGCCACUGGGCCAGAUGGAUUACCAGGACGUUUAAUCCGAGCAUGCGCUGACCAACUGACAAGUGUCUUCACUGACAUUUUCAAACUCUCCCUGUCGGAGUCUGUAAUACCAACAUGUUUCAAGCAGACCACCAUAGUCCCUGUGCCCAAGAAUACUAAGGUAACCUGCCUAAAUGACUACCAACCCGUAGCACUCACGUCUGUAGCCAUGAAAUGCUUUGAAAGGCUGGUCAUGGCUCACAACACCAUUAUCCCAGAAACCCAACUAGACCCACUCCAAUUUGCAUACUGCACCAACAGAUCUACAGAAUAUGCAAUCUCCAUUGCACUCCACACUGCCCUUUCCCACCUGGACAAAAGGAACACCUAUGUGAGAAUGCUAUUUAUUGACUACAGCACAGCGUUCAACACCAUAUUGCCCUCAAAGCUCAUCACUAAGCUAAGGACCCUGGGACUAAACUCGUCCCUCUGCAACGGGAUCCUAGACUUCCUGACCGGCCGCCCCCAGGUGGUAAGGGUAGGUAAAAACACAUCCGCCACGCUGGUCCUCAACACGGGGGCCCCUCAGGGGUGCUUGCUCAGUCCCCUCCUGUACUCUCUGUUCACUCAUGACUGCAUGGCCAGGCUCAACUCCAACACCAUCAUUAAGUUGAUGACAACAGUGGUAGGCCUGAUCACCGACAACGAUGAGACAGCCUAUAGGGAGGAGGUCAGAGAUCUGACUGUGUGGUGCAAGGACAACAACCUCUCCCUCAACGUGAUCCAAGACUAA
rnacentral:lncRNA from 8 species